AGGACUAUAGUUAAAAAUAAUAUUUAAAUUGCACUUAAAAGGUAUUGGUUUCACCAAUUAGUCUUA
rnacentral:tRNA from 1 species